rnacentral:rRNA from 1 species
GACAGAGGUCCCGAGCGUUAGGCGGAAUCACUGGGCUUAAAGCGUGUGUAGGCGGCGGCCUAAGUACCUUGUGAAAUCCCACGGCUCACCCGUGGAACUGCUCGGUAUACUGGAUCGCUUGAGCCACUUAGGGGCUACCGGAACAAAUGGUGGAGCGGUGAAAUGCGUAGAUAUCAUUUGGAACGCCAAUGGUGAAAACAGGUAGCUGGGAGUGUGCUGACGCUGAGACACGAAAGCCAGGGGAGCAAACGGG